AACCACGCAUCAUGUGCACGUUCAUGUUCAUUGCGAUCGAUGCGGCAGCAGAUGAUUCGCUCUGCAAAUUUGGCACAUUCAAAUUUGGAGAUCGUUGAGAGCGGGUGUGGCUGUUGCUGGGGUUUGAAGCUGAGAGAUCAAUUUGCGUGGAAACGACCUGACGGACAGGUCUAGGCCACUGAUUUUUUAUUUUAAGGUUUCAAUUUAUGUGGCCUUUAACUGCAUCAAAUAUGACGAUUUCGCCCUAAAUAUGAGAAAAUAGAUAUUUCAUGUUUCUGAGUUCAACCAAUAAGUAUUGGCAAACCACGGUUGGCGCACAUUCGGACUAUGUCUUAAUCAAAAGAUCACAGCGCUCAAAUGGACACACGGACAUGGCUAGAUCGACACAAAGACCCGAUCCUGAUCAAAACUAUGCAAUACAGCUUCGCUACUCUCAGUUCAGGGUAUAAAUAUAAUACAAGCUUUUGUGAAGAUGUAAAAUUGAGGGUGCCGCCCAAAACUAUGCAAUGACUUAUUUGGCACACUGAGGAAAAUCCAGUACAUGUAGAUGGCUGAACUCUGAA